rnacentral:tRNA from 1 species
UGGAGCAUCGUCCAAUGGUAGGACAUAGGUUUUUGGUACCUAGAAUGUAGGUUCGAUCCCUGCUGCUCCAGCCA